AUAGCGUAUAUUAAAGUUGUUGCAGUUAAAACGCUCGUAGUUGAACUUCAGACCUGGCUGGGCGGUCCGCCUUCUUGGUGUGUACUUACUCAACGGGGACUUACCUCCUGGUGAGCUGCAAUGUCCUUUACUGGGUGUUGUAGGGAACCAGGACGUUUACUUUGAAAAAAUUAGAGUGUUCAAAGCAGGGCUACGCCCGAAUACAUUAGCAUGGAAUAAUAGAAUAGGACGCGCGUUCCCAUUUUGUUGGUUUCUGAGAUCGCCGUAAUGAUUAAUAGGGAUAGUUGGGGGCAUUCGUAUUCCGUCGUCAGAGGUGAAAUUCUUGGAUUGCCGGAAGACGAACUUCUG
rnacentral:rRNA from 1 species